CGGUUCGAGUCCGCUUACCUCCACUGAUCAACUACCUGAUAACUCAAAUUGGAGAUUGUUAUUUGUUAAAUGUGAUUUAGAUGUUGUUCAACUGAAGGAACCUAGCUUCCUAUCACUCCUGAAUUAACUUUAGGCUGAUAAGACGCUGGGCUCACUGGAUGUUCUAAGGGAUAUUCAGUUUGCUUCAGCA
rnacentral:misc_RNA from 1 species